CGAAGGCGGGGUUAAGGCCCGUUUCGGGGGUACACGAGCGGCGAACGGGUGAGCCAUUUGAGAAGAAAACUGCCCUUCACUUCGGGAUAACCACCGGAAACGGCGCUUAAUACCGGAUACGACCAUCCCGCGCAUGCGGUGGUGGUGGAAAGUUCCGGCGGUGGAGGAUGAGCUCGCGGCCUAUCAGCUUGUUGGUGGGGUGAUGGCCUACCAAGGCGACGACGGGUAGCCGGCCUGAGAGGGUGACCGGCCACACUGGGACUGAGACACGGCCCAGACUCCUACGGGAGGCAGCAGUGGGGAAUUUUCCGCAAUGGGCGAAAGCCUGACGGAGCAAGACCGCGUGAGGGAAGAAGGUCUGUGGAUUGUAAACCUCUUUUGAUUGGGAAGAAGCACUGACGGUACCAAUCGAAUCAGCCUCGGCUAACUCCGUGCCAUCU
rnacentral:rRNA from 1 species